rnacentral:rRNA from 1 species
CAGCAGCCGCGGGAAUACGGAGGAUCCGAGCGUUAUCCGGAAUUAUUGGGUUUAAAGGGUGCGUAGGCGGAUAGAUAAGUCAGUGGUGAAAGACGGUGGCUCAACCAUCGCAGUGCCGUUGAUACUGUUUAUCUUGAAUAUGGAUGAGGUAGGCGGAAUGUGGCAAGUAGCGGUGAAAUGCAUAGAUAUGCCACAGAACACCGAUUGCGAAGGCAGCUUACCAAGGCAAAAUUGACGCUGAGGCACGAAAGCGUGGGGAUCGAACAGGAUUAGAUACCCCUGUAGUCCCUGUCUCUUAUAC